CUCGGGGCAGGAACAGUCCUGGAGCUGCCCAAGCCUCUCCCAGGUCCCUCGGCACCGGGGGUGGCCGGCUGCUUGCCACAGCGACAGCUGGUGCCUGCAAGACAUGGGACUGCUUCAGCGGCGUCAUGACUCUCCUGGCACCAGGGAUCUUUGCUUUCGGGGGCCCCUUCUCCAUGCAAAAAUAUUUUAAAUCAAAGUUUACAACUGCAUUAUAAAAAGAUAAAUAUAAUCUGGGCUGGAGUCAGUAUCAGAUCUUCACUACUAUUACAUCUUAUUUCUUCUGAUUUUAAGAGCAACAAGAAUGAACGAUCCAGUGCUACAAGGCAGCCACGUGCACGGACCUUGCAAACCGCAUGUCGAGCAAAGGAAGCCGAAUUCUAAAAGGUUAAACAUGACAAGAGCAGCUUUCACUACUAAGCAUCUACGAGGAGCCAGGUGCUGUGCAAAGGGCUCAGGAUCCUUCCCACCAUCUGAGUGGUGGGGACUGUCAGGAUUGACUUGCCUAAUGUCUGCCUCCUCACAGCAGAAUGUGUCUCCGUAAGAGAAGGACCACAGCUGCUUUGUUCACUGCAUCUCCCCAGUACCCAAAGCAUUGUCUGGCACAUGCUCAGUAGU